UCAGUGGGAAGCCUGCUUCCUCCUCUCUCUCUGCCUGCUUCUCUGCCUGCUUGUGAUAUCCAUCUAUCAUAUAAAUCUUUUUUUUUUCAUGUAAAUAAAAUCUUAAAAAAAAUAAGGGUACGUUUUACGCGUGUAGGAUCAAAAAGGGUGACUUCUAUGCCUACCAAACUGCAUGGAUACUUAAUAUUAUUCCUGAUUCCCUUAGUAUUCUGGUUUGUUGCUCUUCAGUUUUACGGAUGAGAAGAGGACAGAAUAAGGGCUUAAGGGCUGACACCACCUCUUCGCAUGCCCAGUAAGGGGGUAAAAGCCCAAGUUUCCCAGGCUACAAUGACCCCGAAAACCUCCUAAAGACAGGAAAUUCAGUUCUAAAACUUAACGAGCAAUACCCGUUCACUCGCCCUGUUCGCCUAAGAUGGUAAACUGACUUGAGUGUCCAGACCUCUUGGCUCGGAUGCCCGGAGGCUCCUAGCCUGCCGGAGAGGCGCUGCCACCUCGCCGGGGGAACGUCCCGGUCAGCUCUGCGGCAGGAAAACUUGACCUUAAAAAAGCGCAGAAGCCAGUCCCUGGGAGGGCACCGCCGGGAAGUCCGCCCCGCAGCUUCCGACCCCCAAACUGAUACUUUACUAACUGUGCUGGCAAUUGCCAUACUUCCGGAAGUCUCCUGCAGCACUCCUGUUUGUUUCAGGGCCAGAGGAUCCUAGGCCCUGCUUUAUAGAACAGGAGGGGCACAAGGUAAGUCAAUCACGGCAAGUGUGUUCCUUCCUUCCUCUGUCCGUCUAUGUU
rnacentral:lncRNA from 1 species